GACGAACCGUGCGAACGUUGUUCGGAAUCACUGGGCUUAAAGGGCGCGUAGGCGGCUCGCCAAGUCAGGGGUGAAAUACUUCAGCUUAACUGGAGAAGUGCCCUUGAUACUGGCGGGCUCGAGGGAGGUAGGGGUCUGUGGAACUUCCGGUGGAGCGGUGAAAUGUGUUGAUAUCGGAAGGAACGCCGGUGGCGAAAGCGACACACUGGGUCUCAACUGACGCUGAGGCACGAAAGCCAGGGGAGCGAACGGG
rnacentral:rRNA from 1 species